GGGCGUGAAUUAAAGCUCGACGGUUGGUCUUUAAUAAAACGGGCAAGCCGAAAUGUCUAAUUGCGUUAAAUUAGACAAAGCAUAACUGCAAUCUCAGUAUUGUUUGCAGGUCUUGCGGCUAGCGCAAAGAGGCUUCUAGCUUCUCUUGCUCCUGUAAGACCAGCCCUUGCGCUUGUUUAAUUACGCAGGCGCCGUCUGGGUAAUUGAGCCUAAACAGUUACCUAAGGCGUGAUAAUCUUUAGGCUAGCAAACCAGAGUUUGUCUUUGGCUUUGGUUUUGUGAAAACCUCCAAAGAUAGCCCUUUAGUCAUUUUUGUCUGGUUUCAGAGACUGAAGAGCUAAACAAACCAGAAUAAGCUUGUAGAACGUUUGGUUAUUGCCAGCCGGACGCGGGUGCAAUUCCCGCCACGUCCACCA
rnacentral:tmRNA from 1 species